CCCUUAGAUGUUCUGGGCCGCACGCGCGCUACACUGACGAAGUCAGCGAGCAUGUCCUACGCCGACAGGUGCGGGGAAUCUUGUCAAACUUCGUCGUGAUGGGGAUUGAUUAUUGAAAUUCUUGAUCAUCAACGAGGAAUUCCUAGUAAGCGCAAGUCAGCAGCUUGCGUUGAUUACGUCCCUGCCCUUUGUACACACCGCCCGUCGCUACUACCGAUUGAAUGGUUUAGUGAGAUCUUUGGAUUGGCGCCACUGCGGCUCAGCAAUGGGCUCGGUGGAUGCCGAAAAGUUGAUCAAACUUGAUCAUUUAGAGGAAGUAAAAGUCGUAACA
rnacentral:rRNA from 1 species